UCCAAUGGGCGGGUGGUGGCAAGGGAGCCGCGAGGCUCGCCGGCUUGUUCGAGGCCUGGUCUUCCAACCUUGUCACUCGCCCGCUCACCAUG
rnacentral:antisense_RNA from 1 species